UUCUCCUCCUCCCAUUUCUUGUUCUCUUCUAACCCUAAACCAAGAUCUACCAAAUUAAACACAAGUUUUCAGAAAUCAAAACCCAUUUAUUCUAAACCCUAAUCUCAUAAUUCAAGUUCCAUCUUUCGGAAAUCAAACCCAGUUUCAAUAACUCAAUCCCUAGAAAUCGUUUUCUUCUGUAAAAUCAAAUGACUCUGUAAGGUGUGCUUCGUUCCAACUUGAAGUUUACCUCUCUAGUGAUGAACUAAUGCAUCUUGCUCGUUUUGUGGUCAUAUGGUGUUCUAAAGAUAGUGUUUGUAUGUGGUGUUGAUGGUUUUGUUGGUGAAAGUGGUGUGUCUUGUUGCUUAGAGUUGGUAGUAUGGUUAGUGCUGCAGAUUUUCGUUCUUAGGGGUUUGUUGCAGUAGGUGGAGAUAUUGUUGGUAGUGGUGGUUUGGUAUUGAAGCUGGUGGUUCUGUAGGUGAUGGAGGCUGACUGGGCUUGUUGGCACUGCAACUAUUGCUACUGCAGUCAUCAACUUAUGCAGCCAGCCUUUGAUUUACUUCGGUUUCCCUUUUCUACAGGUGAUGAGCAAACCUGGCGGCAUCCCCCGGCAUGUGGAUGGCAAUGGACACUACGUUCUCAAUUCAGCACCAAAAGAUGUUGAUAUUGGAGGCAGUUGUUUAGGUCUCCUCUUUGUACACACUGCAGUUCAGACAGGUAUGUUUUGUUUUUGCCGUUUAUCUGCUGAAGUUUUAUUAUAAAGGUUAACCAAUGUUAGAGAAAUUUUUAAGUUUUAAGAUUUACGCGAGGCCAAUGUUAGAGAAACUUUUGACAAGGCCAGAGGGUCAGCACCUUGUGUUCUCUUCUUUGAUGAACUUGAUUCUGUCGCCACACAGAGAGGAAGCAGUGUUGGAGAUGCAGGUGGUGCUGCUGAUAGGGUACUUAACCAUCUUUUGACUGAAAUGGUGUUGCAUGUCAGCAAAAAAGACCGUUUUCAUCGUUGGUGCUACCAACAGGCCUGAUAUCAUUGAUCCUGCACUUCUGAGGCCAGUCUUGAUCAGUUGAUCUAUAUUCCAUUUCCUGAUGAAGCCUCUCGCUUCCAGAUCUUCAAGGCCUGCCUAAGGAAACCUAUCGCGAAGGAUGUUGACCUUUCAGCCCUUGCCAAGUACACUCAAGGAUUUAGUGGAGCAGAUAUUACUGAGAUAUGCCAGAGAGCUUGCAAGUAUGCUAUUAGAGAGAACAUUGAGAAAGAUAUAGAAAAGGAGAGGAGAAGAAGUGAUAAUCCCUAGAAGUGGAAGAGAUCAAGGCUGCACAUUUCGAGGAGUCGAUGAAAUAUGCACGCAUAAGUGUGAGUGAUGCUGACAUUCGCAAGUAUCAGGCCUUCGCUCAGACUUUGCAGCAGUCCAGGGGUUUCGGAUCUGAGUUCUGUUUUGCUGAUGCAUCAGGAGCAGCAACAGGGACCACUACCUCAGGUGCUGCGGAUCCUUUCGCAGCUUCUGCUGGUGCCGCCGAUGAAGACGACUUGUACAACAGGUAUGUUUUGUUUUGGGUACAAGUGAAAACCAAAACAGCGACGUGUGGAAGGGUAAAUAUGGUGCUCAACUAGGUUAGUACUAUGGUUCGAGUGAAGUGUGAAGGUAAGCUCAAAUAUAUCUUGUUCUUAUUUUAGGAAUGUUGUUUGAUGAUGGUUCUAUUUUUAACGUUUGUCUAUGGUUUAUUUUGUGUGGUGAUUGAUAAAAUACUUGAAGGUGAUCUUGUUACUGAGAUAUAGGAGUAUUUGGAAAAUUUUAUGAACUUCUAAGCUUAACUGCCACUGUAUCUCUUUUAAAGGCUAGAACUAUGGGGGAGGAGAACCUUAACUCCUGAUCUACUAAUAAUAAAAUAAAGUUAAGUCAUUCUUUUCUUUGUUUCUUAUUCAAAUGUGAGUGGUUUGUUUCUUGCUUAGGAACAUGAUUCUGUUUCUUAUUUUCCCUUUCUUAUACAUGUGUCCCUUUUCAUGUACACGCGGGGCAACCUGCACAGUAUACCCCAUUACCACCAUGGUUACUCGAGGGUUUUUUUUUGUGUUGAUGUUGACUCAAGUAGGUGAAGCCUGUGUCUUGCAUAUAGUCUUUGUUGUUUGUUACAGAUGUUGUUCCCAUUUAAUGCAGGAUGACCAUUUAAUAAUUUAGUAAAUCAUCUACCUGACCUGUUUUCAAUCUUUAUACCAUUUAAUCUAAUGCUUAUGAAUUGUAGCUUAUGGUUGCUGCCCCAUCUGUGUUACUGUGUACCAGAUGGUUGGAAUUUCCUGCAUUUGGACAAGUACCAUGGCUACUGCCUGUACCUGCAAUAGUGAUAAUUGGUAGAGGAAAAUCAUAGUAGGAGAACACACUUGGAAGUUGAUACUGUUAGUAAUUUGCAUGUCAACUCAAGUUAUCCGCACAAUAUAAAUGGUACAUUAAAAGUAGGCUGAAAGGAAAAACAGCAGGAUGGUAAGUUGGUUGGCUAAUUGAGGGUCUGGUCACUAUAGGUGUCACUUCAGGUGCUUCCCAAGAUAAGAAAAGAUGGUAUGUAGCUGGUAUUGUUAUGGAUGGAUUGGUUCAUUACAUCGUGUCAUUGUGCCAAGGGAAGAAAAAGAAUCGAGGUACCUUGGACCAUCUAAUAUAUCUGUUGUUCAAGUUAGAGUAUGCUUAGUAGGCUAGUUGAAAGUUGGGCAGGUCACUGCAGUGUGCCAACAUCUUACACACUCCCACUAUUUUCUUGUUGAUCCAUUAGGACUAAGUACUGUGAACAUAUUCGACAACAGCCUAGUCACAGUAGCGUUCUAGCAAUUUUCUUAUGUAUUGAUCGUGUACAUUCAAAAAUUCAUAAUGUUGUAAAAAUGAAUGAUUAUGUAUCGGUUCAGGGAUCUAUAUUAUUUGUAAUACUGGAAUUUUGAGAGUACCAAUAGAGAUUUUCUAAUUUUUUUUU